rnacentral:lncRNA from 1 species
GUGGGGCUAAUAAGCUUCCUUUGCGUGCAUGCUAAGUCACUUCAGUCGUUGCCAACUACUUUGCAACCCCAUGGACUAUAGCCCGCCAGGCUCCUCUGUCCAUGGGAUUUCUCAGGCAAGAAUACUGGAGUGGGUUUCCUUCUCCAGGGGAUCUUCCUGACCCAGGGAUGAAACCCACAUCUCUUGCGUCUCCUGCAUUGGCAGGAGGGUUCUUUAUCACUAGUGACACCUGGGAAGCCCAAGCUUCCUUUAAAUUUUACUAAUUCUCUCAAAUUCUAUUUCUGUAGGCUCUUACAUGUUGGCCUAGAGAAUCCCGUGGACAGAGGAGCCUGGCAGACUACAGUCCAUAGGGUCGCAAAGAGUCGGACAUGACUAAAGCAACGUACAUAGCACACCUUCACGUUGGCAGACAAAUCAUGGAAAAUACUCCUUACUGCCAGCAGAGGGCACUCUCAUUGUGCCCACACUCUUCACAGGAAGUGUGUUCUGGAGUCCAGAAAAAAGGUGUUGGGGAAUCGUAAUGGCUCUGAUACCUGCAGGAAGGGGCAGUACCAUGGCCAUCCAACAGCAAGCAGCUUGGAAGAAGCCAAGGUGACAUGAUCGUGACCUUGAAAGACAGGUGCUGGAAUGGUUCCUGGCCAUCUUCUAGCCUCAUUAGCUUCUGUUGAGGACCAGUUUAGCCAUGAAGUCUUGACAACCUCCUGCUCCCCAGCAGUACCUGCUACUGAGCAGGAGCAGGAAGUCGAUUGGAAGAGCCGGCAAGGGCAUUCCCAGUGCCAGGCAGUUGUGCAGUUCAAUUCAAAUCAGUUCUACUCAACACAGAUAUCUUGGCUGCUCCCUCAUUCUCAGCAUGAUGCUAUCACUGUAGAUUCAACCAGGAUCUCAUAAUUGUGAACCUUUCCAUCAAAACCAUUGAUUAAAUGUGCAAAUAAGUGGGUUUACUU